UCGAAGAGAUUAGUGAAUUGACCAAGGUCUCAUGUCUGAUUAAAAAGUAAGGGAUGGCUUUACAUUUAGGCCUUCCCACUCUGAAACUUCCGGGCUUAUCCAGGCACCAGCCUACCUGGUUACAGAUGAACACUGUGGUCACCCCCAGCGGAGGGGACCGUUUCCCUUUGGCAUUAGGUGUGCACUUGAGAGAAAAAAAGGGUCCCUGGCAGUCUUUGCUGUGACCUGGCUGGGACCUCCUGGCAGAUCUAGAAACUUGAAGAAGGGUGGUCAUAGGAUUGGACAAAGAGAGAUGGGGUCAAAGAAAGAGAAAGAGAGGCCAGAAACUGCCACAGCAUGACGUUGUGAGACAGUGCAGUCCUGGCGGAAGGGUGUGCUUUGAUACCAGGUCUCCUGUUCUCCUUGACUGUGUUAUGAAUGUGAUUCCAACUUUAUAGAACUUUGUCUCAUUUAUCACUUUCUCGAAGUGACUCCAGAUUUGACUAACACCCAGACUUUUUUGGUUGGGUUUCUCUUCGGGCAAAGUUUGUUGAAGGAAGGGGAGCAAGGAGAAAUCGCAAAAAAUGAUUUUAGUAUAUUACAGUCCCCUGCUUGGUUAACAUAUUAAAGACUCUGGGAAGUCCUGCUGUUCAAACCAAACCAAACACACAGUAUACCUUUACUUAACCCAGUGCUUGCCAGAUUUGUUUGAUAAUCCUUUUUUUUCCCUACAAAAGACUCGCAAAUAUACUUAAGUGUUGUUUUCUGGAAAACACCUUUGUGACAGAUUCAGAUCCUCUGUGCAAAAACAGAGGAAGUGGUUCAGUUCCUAAGAUCUCAGACCUGAUUUCAUUAUUGACUUUCUGUGAUUCUUUGCUGAGGUUAUUUGGCUUUUUUGGGGCCUCAGGAUGAGGCCCCUGUUGUUGUGACAAUUUGACAUUUUCUGAGUGUUUAUUCUCUGCUAUCCCUGCUAAAUUCGCGAUUCACCUCCUGUCAACUUCCCGGUGAUGCAGUGCAGGAGGUGCUAGUGUCCACAUUUUCUAACCUAGGAGACAGAGGUUUAAGAGAAGUGAAACCAUUAGGCCUUCAGGCAUCUGGUUUCUUAAGCCACAGUUUCUUACACGGCCUGUAAUGGUUUGGUAAUAUUUUAAAGUGUUAAACACGAGCAUUAUUAGUAAGUUAGAGGAAUUUCCCCAAGAGUAUCUGAGUACAGUUACUUUUAAAUUCCAGGUACCCAUGUCUUCUAUUGAAACCUGGCUGUGAGGCUUUUUCUGUUUGAGAAGUCUCUGCAUAGCCCACCACUAUUGAUGGAACUGGUGGAAUCUCCGGGAGGGACACCCACCUGACUACCUCGUCACGUCUUCCAGACCUCAUUACUCUGAGGAUGGCACACAAAGCAGCAGCACUGGUGUCACCUGGGAACUUGUUGGAGAUGCAGAGACCACGCCUACUCCCACCUGCUGGUUCAGAAUCUGCGCUCUAACAGGAAGCUCGAGUGAUUCCUGUGCAUGAUCAGGGGACGAGACAGCACCGCGGCCCCCAGGGAGUCUGCAUUCCAGAGGGCAAGAAGACAGCAUGCGAAUGAGUUGUCAAGACCGUGCCAGAUGGAAGGCUCUGUGAUGUCUGGUUUACUAAGAUAUUCCCUAAAAGAGUUGGAGAAACACUCAAAUUGAUGUGUGAUCUCUGCUUGGCCAAAUACAGUAAUACUAAAUGUCAGACGAGGAGAUACGGAAAAUCAACAGAACGCUGGUGCAUGGGCAACAGUCACCUCCACCGUGUGCUGCUCAUCGCCGAGGGCUAAAAGACUAGUACUGGCCAUUAUACACACUCUUAAUCAGAAGUGUAAAGCACGCACGUACUCAGCAGAAGGAAGUGGCCAAAGGAGACUGUCCCCUGUCACGGAGCGUAGAUGCCGGCGGAGCCUCAGACCUGCAGCUAGAGCCGUUUGAGACUCACGCCUGAGUACGCAGCGAGUUUGGUGACGCGACCGUCGAUCUGCUUCAGCAUUAAAAAUACCGACGCGUCAUCUGAUGCUGAGGCUCUCAGAGACGGCAACGUGUCCGUGGGGCGGCCGCGCUGGCCCCCCUUUGUGCGGUGUUCGUUCCGCGCCCAGGCACCUGCGGCCGUGCAGAGAGGCUGCUCACAGAGUGCUCGUUGCUCAUCUUGGCGGACCUCUACCCAGGUUUAAUUCCAAUUAUUUAAAAAGGGAAUGGAUUUCAGAGCAUCCACGUCCGGUAAUCAUCUAAACAUAAGGAAAGAGAGAACUGGGGACGUGCAGAGGGGAGGAGCCCCAGGUAAAGCGGGUGUCAGGAUAGGAGCUGAUGUUCUUUGAGGCAGCUGGGGGAGAUGCACAGUAUAUGGGCGAGAGGACAGGACACAGGCUGUCAGUUCAGUUGGCCGUGGCCGUAUGUGGGCCACCCAUCGGACUCCUUCACUUCCUCCACUCCACUUGGGGCAGAAGGGCCUUCUUCAUGCCCCCCUCCCAAACUCGUUCCUGCCCCAGGACCUUUGCACAUGAUAAUCCUGCUGCCUGGAAUGUGUUUCCCUCACUUGCCUCCACUCAUUCAGGUUGUGGUUCAAAUAUGACCUUCUCAGGCUGCCUUCUCUGACCACCCUAUCCGAACUAGCAGCCCCCACGCACAUCUUUUCCUUCUCGUCCCUUCUUCCGCCUCUUUCUUCUGCUUUCUUCCUAGAAAUGACCUCUGUGUAGUUGUAUGUUGUUGAGCAACAGGGACGCAUUCUAAGAAAUGCGUUGUUAGGUGAUUUCAUCAUUAUGUGUCCUUACACGAACCUAACUGGCAGAGCCCACUGCACACCUAGCCUGCGUGGUCUAGCCCACUGCUCCUGGGCUGUACCCCUGUGUGGCACGUUCCUGUACUGAGUACGGUAGGCAGCUGUGACACACAGGUGUCUGUAUAUUUAAACAUCUAAACACAGAAAAGACACUGUGAAAAUACAGUAUGAUCUCAUGGGCUACAGUAUCUUACAGGAUCAUUGCCGUGUGUGCGUGCACUGUCCAUGGGACUGUCACUCUCUGGCACACGUCUGUCUUGUUGGAUUUAUGUAUUUGUUCGUAGCCUGUCUCUCCUCUCUGGAGUGCAGGCUCCCUGAGGAGGUGAACAGGACACCUCUGUCUUGUUCACUGCUGCCCCCCCUAAAGAGAACAGCGUCCGACACGUGCUCAUCUGGGUGGGUGACGCGGCGAUGUGUCCUGGGACCCUGCCCCCCAGCCGUGUGCCCUUGGGCUGCUUCCUUCACCUGUGGGAGCUUCAGUAGCCUCAUCGUAAAGCAGAAACAAGAGUUUUAGGAGCUAAAUGAUUACGUGCAUGAAACCCUCUUCACAUAAUGCUCAGUACACAUUAGCUUAAAAAGAGGCUUUUCUUUAGAAAAUCAAGGCGAAAGAGGUUGGGAAUGGGAUUCUUGCGUCUGUGGGGGGGGGGCAGCCGAGGUGGACGAGUCAGCAUCCCAGAGUCACAUAACACACCUGUAACCUGGGGUGGGUGGAGAUGUCCCCCGCCCCACGUGCGCGGCUUAGUGUUCCUUGGGUCAGGCCAGGGUUCUCCCACAGGGGGCGCUGUUGAGGGACGGGCAGUCGAGUGCGAUUAAGGAAGUGGAGGCAGGACUCAAAUGGCUGCUGGGUUCAAAUCCCAGUUCCCACCACUUGCUGGCGUGGGCGAGUAACGUCGCCUUACGGGCCUCAGUUUUCUUAUCUGUCAAAUGAACUUAAACAGCAUUUUCAUCCUCACAGGCUGUGGUGAGGAUUAAAUGGGGUCGCGUAGGGAGAGUCCUGAGCAAGGAGCCCGGCACAGCGACAGUUGCCACACACGUCGUUCCUCACGACUCUGAGUUAGGCUGUGUCUCCUUCAACACACACUUCGUCUCAGAGGCUGAGUUACAGUUAAUUGAGCCUGAAAGGCCACAGACUCGAAAAAGCCCUCAAAGUGAUACAGGUAAAAAGAAAAACGAAAUGGCAUCUCCCAUGCAUUGAGGGCUCUGCAGCAUGUGGCCCACCCCGUGCUCAGCACUCUACAGUGCGUGGCCAGCCCAGACUCAGCACUCUACACUGUGUGGCCAGCCCAGGCUCAGCUCUCUACAGUGUGUGGCCAACCCAGGCUCAGCUCUCUACAGUGUGUGGCCAGCCCGGGCUCAGCUCUCUACAGUGUGUGGCCCACCCCGUGCUCAGUACUCUACAGUGUGUGGCCAGCCCAGGCUCAGCACUCUACAGUGUGUGGCCAGCCUAGGCUCAGCACUCUACAGUGCGUGGCCAGCCCAGGCUCAGCACUCUACAGUGUGUGGCCCACACUGUGCUCAGCACUCUACAGUGCGUGGCCAGCCCGGGCUCAGCACUCUACAGUGUGUGGCCAGCCCGGGCUCAGCACUCUACAGUGUGUGGCCCACCCUGUGCUCAGCACUCUAUAGUGUGAGGCCAGCCCGGGCUCAGCACUCUAUAGUGUGUGGCCAACCCAGGCUCAGCACUCUACAGUGCGUGGCCAGCCCAGACUCAGCACUCUACACUGUGUGGCCAGCCCAGGCUCAGCACUCUACAGUGUGUGGCCAGCCCAAGCUCAGCACUCUACAAUGUGUGGCCAGCCCAGGCUCAGCACUCUACAGUGUAUGGCCAGCCCAGGCUCAGCACUCUACAGUGUGUGGCCAGCCCAGGCUCAGCUCUCUACAGUGUGUGGCCAGCAUUGCCUCAGCAUUCCAUAGUCAUCAUCUUCUUAUCAUGAACUUAAUGGUCACUUAAUGAGGUAGACCUUGCCCAUGGCUUGAAUUGAUUUAAGAAACUCCACUAUCAUACUGUCUUCACCUGCCAACCAAAGCACAUCCACUUUCUGGAACCUUCUGACGGCCAGGCCAAGUUGCCCAGCCACCAGAUCCUUUCAGAGUUUGGCAGUAGCCAGCCCAGCAAUCAUUGACAAGGUGGCUGUUUGCCAGGUCUACCCCGGCACAGGCGUGGGACAGAGCCCUUUCGUGCACGAGCAGAAUUUGCAGAGGUGCAGGGCCACGCUGACACGCCCCGCAUCCCCUGCCAGGCCCACUGGCUAAUUUUGGUCCUGGAAGGUCCAGGAUGAAGGCCUGUGGAGGCCCCAGCUCACCGAGUCUUCCUGUAAGUUUCGGCUCCAGAAGCCACCUUGGAGAACCGUGGUUGUCUCCCUCCAUCUCCCCGGUGCCCCCCAGAUGAGCGCCCCCACUCCGUACCUGCUAUCACAAAGACAAGAAGGGCCAUUCAUAAUUUAAGUCGGCCCUUUCUUUCCUACACGCUACCAACAUGAGUCGGGUGCUGGAGGAAAAAUUGAACUCUCUCUCCCAGGAUACACUGAAGAUCAAGCAGAAUCUCAUUAAGGCUCACUUCAAAGAUUCGUCCUUUAUUUCCAUACAAACAAGUUUAAAUUAUCGUGCGUGAAUCUGCUGUUAGCAGGGACUCUGUUCCAUUAUGCAUGAUUCCUCACUGCUCUAUCAUGAAUAAUGGGCAGUGCUCCAUUAGUGAUUUCCAGUAAUAUGCUAAACUUCGGGAGUGGUCACGUUAUUAGGUUAAAGUUCUGUAGUUUGCAUAUUUAUUUUAUUUCUUACUCAAGCUAUAAUGCUCUGGUUCAUCAAAAUAGGUAUUGCAAUCUUGUUGUAAUUAACAUAGCAUAACACAUGCUGUAGCUAUGAUUUCUUUAUUAUUAUCCAAUAUUUAUUGAGCAUUUACUAUGAGCAAGGGGUAGGGCUCGGUGCAUGCCAUGCCUUGCAUGCAUAAUAUUAUUUAAUCUUCACUAGAACCCCAUGAAAUAUUAUUAUUAUUAUUAUUGCCACUUUACAGGUGAAAAACCUGAUAAUUAGGUAGCUAUCUAGAUUGCCCAUGGAUACAACCUAUAAUAAUUGGUA